rnacentral:rRNA from 1 species
UAAACUGGGAUUAGAUACCCCACUAUGCCCAGCCGUAAACACAAAUACACCGUAUACGCCAGAGAAUUACAAGCUAAGCUUGAAACCCAAAGGACUUGGCGGCAUUCCAUAUCACCCUAGAGGGGCCUGUCACAUAAACGAUAACCCACGAUUAACCUCACCAUUUUUAGCCCAUUCCAGCCUAUAUACCGCCGUCGCCAGCCCAUCUUGAAAAAGACUAAAUGAGCCAAAUAGUACCGCCACUAAAACGACAGGUCAAGGUGUAGCUUAUAAAACGGCAAGUGAUGGACCACAUUGCUAUCCCAGCCAAACUAAAACUGCCCUGAAACAAACAUUUUAAGGUGGAUUUAACAGUAAAAUAGACAAGAAAAUCUAUCUAAAGACUGCUCUGGAACGUGCACACACCGCCCGUCACCCUCUGCAGUCAA